GGCAUCACAACAGGGUGGAAUUGGAGUUGCUCUAUGAAAAAAAGGUGAAGUAUGCAUAGCCUGCCUGAUCAUUGGUGUAGAGUCAAAGAAAUAAAGUUUGAACUUGAACAGCAAUGCUUUGGAUGGUAUACUCAUCUGGACAGAAGGUUUCAGGUGAAGACAAUGAACAAAUGGCUCCACUUUUGUAACCAACAGAGGAUUCCAGCAUGAUCACAAACAAAACAUUUGACAACUCAAAAAUGUAUCUCCAUGUGUUUCCACACAUGGACCAAUUUGGACUGGAAUGAAAAGUGU
rnacentral:lncRNA from 1 species